rnacentral:rRNA from 1 species
UACGUAGGUGGCGAGCGUUGUCCGGAUUUACUGGGCGUAAAGAGCGCGCAGGCGGUCGGCCAAGUCGAGUGUGAAAGCCCCCGGCUCAACUGGGGAGGGUCACUUGAUACUGGUCGACUCGAAGGCGGGAGAGGGAAGUGGAAUUCCCGGUGUAGUGGUGAAAUGCGUAGAUAUCGGGAGGAACACCAGUGGCGAAGGCGACUUCCUGGCCCGUUCUUGACGCUGAGGCGCGAAAGCUAGGGGAGCAAACAGG